UUACAAUGGCAGGUACAGAGGGAUGCUACCGGGCGGACCGGAUGCGGAUCUCGAAAGCCUGUCCCAGUUCGGACUGGAGCUGCAACCCGACUCCACGAAGUUGGAUUCGCUAGUAAUCGCGCAUCAGCCAUGGCGCGGUGAAUACGUUCCCGGGCCUUGUACACACCGCCCGUCAAGCCAUGGGAGCCGGGGGCGCCUGAAGUCCGGGACCGCGAGGACCGGCCUAGGGCGAAACUGGUAACUGGGGCUAAGUCGUAACAAGGUACC
rnacentral:rRNA from 1 species